CAGGUGCUGCAUGGCUGUCGUCAGCUCGUGUCGUGAGAUGUUCGGUUAAGUCCGCUAACGAGCGCAACCCUCGCUGUGUGUUACAAGUGUCACACGGAACUGCCGGUCAUAAACCGGAGGAAGGUGGGGAUGACGUCAAGUCAGCAUGGCCUUUAUAUCCUGGGCUACACACACGCUACAAUGGGAAGGGACAAUAGGUUGCGAAGCCGCGAGGCGGAGCCAAUCCAGCAAAACUUCCCUCAGUUCAGAUUGCAGGCUGCAACCCGCCUGCAUGAAGUUGGAGUUGCUAGUAAACGCAGGUCAGCCAUACUGCGUUGAAUACGUUCCCGGGGCUU
rnacentral:rRNA from 1 species